ensembl:lncRNA
CCAGCUGACAGAAACCACUCCUUCUGCCACACGUCCACAUCCUGCUGUUCAGGAUAUGCUGUAUAUUUGUGCUGGGAGCUCAGCUGUGCUUUAGACCUGUGUGUUUAAUUCUAUAUCAUAGCAUCGCUAAAAUGAUCUUCUCAGUAGUUAUUUUCAUACUUAUUUCUGUUGCGGCAUCAGAAGCUCUGGGAGACAGAGAAGAACAAGAUUUGGCAGCAAAUCCAGGGCUGGUUGCAGUGCUGUGUAUUUUCUGCAUUGUGGUGGCUGUAGUUGUUGUGGUUGUGAUAGUGAAGGCUGUUCGCUCCAGGAGACCUCAGUUUGAGAGGCUUGAUGAUGUACCUAUGGGCAAGGUAAAUGAGGAAGCACCGUUUGCCCGCUACCCUCCAAAAUAAAGGCCAGUUUCUUAUACGUGCUGUCUCAGUGAACGACGUAGCUAUGCCUCUGAUAUUUCGCUUUUUGGUUUUGAAAUGAAAUGUGCCUUUUUAACCUACAGACUUAAUGUGCAAUACAUAGUGUAUUAGUUGUGAAAUAUGAUAAUGUGCUUUUUUUCCCCCUUAAAAUACCACAGCCAAUGACAAACUUGUAGUCAAAUGAAGAAAUCUAACUUCUUAUGUCCUAUAUUUUUGUAUUGUUUAUGCCAUAUUCUUCUCUUGUAAGCCCGUUUUGAUUAAAACUAUCUUUUGAAAAAAUCUGCUUAAUUAAUACAUAUAAUUGGAAUGUAAAUGUACAUAAUGACGACUGCACUGUCAAUAUUUGUGAGAGACUAUGACGGGAGUGUGACAUUUUCAGCCUGUCCUCCAGAUGGCGCCAAAAUUGUUCACAAGCAGUUGUACUGUAUGUAUCUUUAACAUUAUUUGAGAACUGAGAGUUGUUUUUGCUCAAAAUAACAAAUACCUUUGGCCUUGGACCACCUCAAAUGAACUUAAUACAAUUCGACAAAUGUAAUGUAAAUAAAUAAAAAUUUUGCAUUAAAGCA